GGACGGGGGGAGUCUGAUCAGUGACCUCAGCAUGGCCUUUGGGAAGGGACGAGGCCGGCCCACUAUCCCCCUAGCUUAAACAUGCCCAGCCUGGGACCGAUACCAACUUGAAAGUUACUCGAUGACCAUACAAUCCAUACAGGUAAGUGGGUAUUAUUACCUAGAUUCUGGGAAGACAUAAGGAAAUAUCUGUCUUGCACAUAGCAUUCGAGUUAAUGGGAUUCCUGUGAGCCCCAUUUUUAUAAGUUCCCUUACUGAAGCCUAUUUUCUGGACAUGAACUUGAAUCAGGUGCCCUGUGGCAUCGGUAGGCAGAAAUGAGUCACUCACCUUGUGAUGAUUCUAGCCACCUAUGUAACACUAUCAUUUCAAAGUGUUUUGUUGUUGUUUUUUCCAUGAAAACUGCCAAAGUUCUAUUGAAAAUUUGAAUUCAGUCAGUUUUUGUGGACUAUUUUUAUGAAACUUUUCAGAGAAAAAUGAAUAGCGAGUACUAGUUUAAAAUGUAAAUACACCCCUGCAGUAUAUCCGUGCCCUCUGCAUACUCAGCAGAAACAGAAUCUCUACUUAUGUAUUAUGUAUUAUGUAUGUAAUACUUAUGUAUUACAGUAGUUAAUUCCUGGCUUCAUCAGGAAAAGGAAACAAGGCAUGGAAAUAAUACUUAUCUGGGCCUGAUAUUAUAUAUAUCAUUCCUCUGUAGAGAAUGUACAUAAAUUAUGGCUUGUUUUGCAUCAUUUUUCAGAUUACCAGGCGUACUUCCUUGUAAGUAGUUUGACUUGUAACUUAAGUUUUCUCUUUGUAUUGCCUUUCCUACCAUUAUUUUUUUCCCGCUCAGAGUACAGUAUCUCUCAUAUUGUUUGUUGAACAUGUACCCCUCUACUCCCUUCCCUUAGUCUCCUUUGAUCUCUUCUCCCCCAUUUAUAGAGCCCUUGCUUCAUCCAUUAUCCUCGUCCAUCAUUUCAGCUACUCCCUCACUGCUGGCUUUUUCCCUUCAGCAUAUUAGAGUGUAUCCAUCUUAAAAGUAAUCAGAACAACUGUCCUUUCAUUGUUGCCCCAUCCAGCGAUUUCCCAAUACUUUCCCUUCCUUUUGCACACCAUCAUUUUGAAAAGACAGUCAGAGGUCAUUUCAAAUCCCACAUCUCUGCUAUUUUCAUAAUCCAUUUUCACUGACUUCCAUCCCUGCUAAAGUGAAACCAUGGUCUCUAAGGACCUGCAUACAUUCUGCUGCUAGCUCUCUGCAACUCUGUUGAUCCUUCCUUGGUUUGUAACACCAUUUUCUCUUAAAAUUCUAUGUUCCAAUUCCCUCUACUCCUCAAAUGGUGGUGUUUUGGGGAUUCUUGGUCUUAUUCUUUCCUUGUUCUCCAACUCCAGUUGGCUGAUCUUAUUCAUCCCCCUGACUCCAGAAUCAUUGUUAAAGUAUGACCUUCAUGUCUGUGUUUAGACUUGCAGUAACUUUACUGACCUGCCAUCUCAUAUAUUCAACCAUGUGUCUGCUAUGCUUAGUUGUUUCUCAUCAUCUCAGUGUAUGCAAAACUGAGCUCCACUCUUCCCACCAUAGAUGCUUUUCUUCCUGAAUUCCCUUUAAUGGAGAGAAGCACAAUCCAGACCAAACUCUGAUGCCUCCCUAAGUGCUUACCCCCUCAAAUCAAUGGAAUCCAAUCUAGUUUUACCUCCUGAGUGUCUCUUGAUUCUAAUUCCAUCUUUCUAUCCUAAUUCCAAGCCCUUAAACAUUUUCGUUUAGAAUCACCUUAUCACUUCUUAUCACUGAUUCCAAUCUCAUCUAUUUAAUCUAUUUAUAACAUUGCUCCAAUUUUUUUCCCUGAAACAUCUGUUAUUAUUUUAUUCCCCUGCUUGAAAUCCUUCAGUGCUUCCCCAAUACAGUCAAGAUAAAAUCCAAACUUCUUAGCACAAUGUAUGUAAGGCAUUUUAUGUUCUGGCCUGUGUUUCUCCCUAGCUGCAACUCUUACCUCACCCAUGUGCAUUUCACCUUUGCAUCAGGUCCCGGCGAGCACUCCACUCUCCGCCUUCCAUGCUGUCCUGUCUCCCUUUCCUACCUUCCUCCCGGCCAUUCCCUGCCCAGCUCUCAUACUUCAGUCCUGGUAUCACUCCUUCAGAGCCUCUGCUUUUCUUCUUCACCUACUCAUUUGGCAUUGCUGUGUUUCCUGUUUCUUUUAUAACCUGAUAAACUCUACUAUAAUGGUUUGUCUGGGUCUUUCCUAAAUUGUAAACUCCCUGACAGCAGGAAUUAUGUAUUUUCUUUGUAUCGCGCCAACUGGAAUGUACCUAUGGGAUAUAUUUAAUAAAAGUUUGUUGGAUAAAAAUGUCUGAUGGCUGAUUUACUUCAGAAAUAAUCACUGCUAUCUACAAUUGCAAUGCUUUUUUAAAAAAAUUAUAUAAACCCAACCUAAAAGCAAUUGAUAAAUCAAAACUUCAAAAUUACAAUUUUCUGCUCAUCCAAAGAUAUUGUUAAGAAAAUAAAAAGUCGUGGCUCAGUGGUUAAUGAAUCCGACUAGGAACCAUGAGGUUGCGGGUUCAAUCCCUGGCCUUGCUCAGUGGGUUAAGGAUCUGGCGUUGCUGUGAGCUGUGGUGUAGGUCCCAGACUUGGCUCGGGUCCCGAGUUGCUGUGGCUCUGGUGUAGGCUGGCAGCUACAGCUCCGACUGGACCCCUAGCCUGGGAACCUCCAUAUGCCACAGGAGCGACCCUAGAAAAGGCAAAAAGACAAAAGACAAAAAAAAAAAAAAAAAAAAAAAA
rnacentral:lncRNA from 1 species